rnacentral:rRNA from 1 species
AUUGAACGCUGGCGGCAGGCCUAACACAUGCAAGUCGAACGAGUGGCGGACGGGUGAGUAAUGUCUGGGAAACUGCCUGAUGGAGGGGGAUAACUACUGGAAACGGUAGCUAAUACCGCAUACCAUCAGAUGUGCCCAGAUGGGAUUAGCUGGUUGGUGGGGUAACGGCUCACCUGGGCGACGAUCCCUAGCUGGUCUGAGAGGAUGACCAGCCAAACUGGAAAGGAGACACGGGCCAGACUCCUACGGGAGGGAGGAGUGGGGAAUAUUGCACAAUGGGGGCAAGCCUGAUGCAGCCAUGGCGCGUGUAUGAAGGAGGCCUUCGGGUUGUAAAGUACUUUCAGCGGGGAGGCGUUACCCGCAGAAGAAGCACCGGCUAACUCCGUGCCAGCAGCCGCAGUAAUUC